UACAGAGGGUGCAAGCGUUAAUCGGAAUUACUGGGCGUAAAGGGUGCGUAGGCGGCUUUCUAAGUUGGAUGUGAAAACUCGGGGCUUAACCCCGAGCCUGCAGUGGAUACGGGCAGACUAGAAGUAGGUAGGGGAGAAUGGAAUUCCCGGUGUAGCGGUGAAAUGCGCAGAUAUCGGGAGGAACACCGGUGGCGAAGGCGGUUCUCUGGGCCUUACCUGACGCUGAGGAGCGAAAGCGUGGGGAGCGAACAGG
rnacentral:rRNA from 1 species